GUGCUCGCUUCGGCAGCACAUAUACUAAAAUCGGCAAGAUACAGAGUACGUUAGCAUGGUUUCUGUGCAAGGAUGCCAUUCAAAUUUGCAAAGUGUUCCAUUAUUUU